UACGUAUGGUGCAAGCGUUAUCCGGAUUUACUGGGUGUAAAGGGAGCGUAGACGGCAAAGCAAGUCUGAUGUGAAAGCUAUGGGCUCAACCCAUAAACUGCAUUGGAAACUGUUUAGCUAGAGUGUCGGAGAGGUAAGUGGAAUUCCUAGUGUAGCGGUGAAAUGCGUAGAUAUUAGGAGGAACACCGGUGGCGAAGGCGGCUUACUGGACGAUAACUGACGUUGAGGCUCGAAAGCGUGGGGAGCAAAC
rnacentral:rRNA from 1 species